ACUAGCAGUAAGAAGUUUGAUCAUGGCGUCAGGAUGAACGCUAGCGGCAGGCAUAAUACAUGCAAGUUNAACGGGAUAGAUUGAGUUUACGUUAAUCUUGAGAGUGGCGGCACGGGUGAGUAACGACCGUGGGGAACCUGCCCUUUGGUUCGGAAGAACCCUGGGAAACUAGGGCUGAUACCGGAUGAGCCCUGACCGCGAGUUGGGGAAGAUUAUCGCCGAGAGGGCCCGCGUCCGAUUAGCUAGUUGGUGGGGUAAUGGCCUACCAAGGCUGCGAUCGGUAGCCGGUCUGAGAGGACGAUCGGCCACACUGGGACUGAGACACGGCCCAGACUCCUACGGGAGGCAGCAGUGGGGAAUAUUGGACAAUGGGCGCAAGCCUGAUCCAGCCAUGCCGCGUGGGUGAUGACGGCCUUCGGGUUGUAAAGCCCUUUUGGCGGGGACGAUGAUGACGGUACCCGCAGAAUAAGCCCCGGCUAACUUCGUGCCAGCAGCCGCGGUAAUAC
rnacentral:rRNA from 1 species